UACGUAGGGUGCAAGCGUUAAUCGGAAUUACUGGGCGUAAAGCGUGCGCAGGCGGUUUUGUAAGUCUGACGUGAAAUCCCCGGGCUCAACCUGGGAAUUGCGUUGGAGACUGCAAGGCUAGAAUCUGGCAGAGGGGGGUAGAAUUCCACGUGUAGCAGUGAAAUGCGUAGAGAUGUGGAGGAACACCGAUGGCGAAGGCAGCCCCCUGGGUCAAGAUUGACGCU
rnacentral:rRNA from 1 species